UUUCAGCCCAACAGUUCAGUAUUGGCAAUGGCGUCUAGAGACACAAACAAUGACAAGUGUGCCAAUUCAUUGCGAAACCUUUUACAAAAAGUCAAAACAAGCUUCUGGACAUCAGAACAGCGAUCACUAACCUCGAUUUGGAUGAAGAUUUCUACUGCACUGAAUUGGAAGCUCAUCCCGGAAAAGGCCCAAAUCCCUGACACUCGAAGAAGAAAGAGACAGCGUUAUAGAGGCGCCGUGCAAGAUACCUGACAAGACUACGUCAGUGAGUGGAUAAACUGCCUCUACCCUCUGUUCUAUUGGCUAACGUGCAAUCACUGGAGAAUAAACUGGAUGAGCUCGGUUCGAGACUAUCCUAUCAACGUGAUCUGAAGAACUGUAAUAUCCUAUGUUUCUCAGAGUCGAGACUAAAUAAGGACAUCUAUCUUGUUUUUCUAUACAUCGUCAAGCCAGAAUGUCAGCGUUGGGUGCACUCAGCGGGGUGAUGUGGGUCUCUGUUAAACAACAGCUGGUGCGCAAUCUCUAAUAUUAAGGAAAUCUCAAGGUUCUGCUCACCUCAUAUGAUAAGCUGUAGACCAUACUAUUUACUAAGAGAGUUUUCAUCUAUAUUUUUCGUAGCUUUCUACUUACCACCACAAACCAAUGAUGGAACUAAGACCACACUCAUCAAGCUGUGUAGGGCCAUAAGCAAACAAGAAAAUGCUCACCCAGAGGCGACGCUCCUAGUGGCCGGUGAUUUUAAUGCAGGAAAACUGAAAUCCGUUUGACCUAAUUUCUCCCAUGUCACCUGUACAACAUGCAAAAAAACUUUAGAUCCCCUUUACUCGACAGAUAGGCAAAUCUGACCAUAACUCUAUCCUCCUGAUUCCUGCUUUCAAGCAAAACUCAAACAGGAAGUAAUAGUGAUGCGCUCAAUACGGAAGUGAUCCGAUGAAGCGAAUGCAUCAAUACAGGACUAAGAUCGAAUCCUACUACACCGUCUCUGGCCCUUGUCGGAUGUGGCAGGGCAUGCAAAUUUUCACGGAUCACAAAGGGAAACCCAGCCGUGAGCUGCCCACUGACGUGAGCCUACCAGACGAGCUAAAUGCCUUCUAUGCUCGCUUCGAGGCUAGCAACACUGAACCAUGCAUGAGAGCACCAGCUGUUCCAGACGACUGUGUGAUCAUGCUCUCCGUAGGCAAUGUAAGUAAGACCGUUAAGCAGGUCAACAUUCACAAGGCCGCAGGGCCAGACUGAUUUCCAGGACGCGUACUCAGACAUUCGCUGACAUUUUAAACCUCUCCCUGAUCCAGUCUGUAAUACCUACAUGUUUCAAGCAGACCACCAUAGUCCCAAGAAGGCCAAGGUAACCUGUCCAAAUGACUUAGCACUCAAAUCUAUAGGCAUGAAACGCAUUGAAAGGCUGGUCAUGGCUCACAUCAACACCAUCAUCCCAGACACCCUGGACCCACCCGAAUUUGCAUACCGCCCUAAAAGAUCCACAGAUGACGCAGUCUCUAUUGCACUCCACACUGCCCUUUCCCACAUGGACAAAAGGAACACCUACGUGAGAAUGCUGUUCAUUGACUACAGCUCAGCAUUCAACACCAUGUACCCUCCAAGCUCAUCACUAAGCUAAGGAGCCUUGGACUGAACACCUCCCUCUGCAACUGGAUCCUGACGGUCCGCCCCCAGGUGGUGAGGGUAGACAACAACACAUCCACCACGCUGACCCUCAACACGGGGGCCCUUCAGGGUUGCGUGCUUCGUCCCCUCCUGUACUCCCUGUUCACCCACAACUACGUAGCCGUGCACGAUUUCAACACCAUCAUUAGGUUUGCCAACGACACGACGGUUGUAGGCCUGAUCAUCGAUGACAAUGAGACAGGGAGGAGGUCAGAGACCUUGCAGUGUGGUGCCAGGACAACAGUCACUCCCUCAACAUCAGCAAGAAAAAGGAGCUGAUCGUGGACUACAGGAAACGGAGGGCCGAGCACGCCCCCAUUCACAUCGACGGAGCUGUGGUGGAGCUGGUCUAGAGCUUCAUGUUCCUCAAUGUCCACAUCACUAAAGACCUAUCAUGGUCCAAAUACACCAACACAGUCACGAAGAGGGCACGACAUUGCCUCUUCCCCCUCAGGAGGCUGAAAAGAUUUGGCAUGGGCCCUCGGAUCCUAUAAAAAAAUCCUAUACAUCAUCACCAUUGAGAUCAUCUUGACAGGCUGCAUCACCACUUGGUAUGGCAAAUGCUUGGCAUCCAACUGUAAAGCGCUACAGAUGGUAGUGUGUACGGCCCAGUACAUAACUGGAGCCGAGCUCCCUUCACAACCAGGACCUCGAUACCAGGCGGUGUCAGAAGAAGGCCCUAAAAAUUGUCCGACUCUUGACACCGAAGUCAUAGACUGUUCUUACUGCUACCGCAUGGCAAGCAGACCAAAAGGCUCCUGAAUAGCUUCUAACCCAAGUCAUAAGACUGCUGAACAGUUGAUCAUAUAUCUACCCUGACUAUUUGCAUUGAGCCCCUUUUUAUUUGCACUGACUCUCUUGCACUGGCUCUAUGCACACUCACUGGAGUCUACCCACACACUCACUCAUACUACAUUGAUACUCCAACACACACAUAUACACACUUAGACUACAUAUGCUCACACACACAAAACACACACACACAUGCAUAUUGACGCCACACACACACACACACACACACUCACACAGACACACUUUCACUCUUUCACACUCUUCCGCAAACGCUACUGCUACCCUGUUUAUUAUCUAUCGUGAUUGUCUAGUUGCUUUUACCCCUACCUACAUGUCCAUAUUACCUCAAUUACCUCCACUACCUCGUACCCCUGCACAUUAACUUGACACACGGAUCCCUCCGGGAACUUUAAUUACGCACACCUGGCCCCUAUUCCCAGUGAUUAGUAAUUGUAUAAGUGUGCCCUUGGUUCACCAUUGUCUUGUCUUUAUUGUUUAUUGUUUAUCUUUAUUGUUCCAAUGUCCGUUGGUGCGUGUGAGUACCUGUGCUGUUUUGGGCUUUCGUGCCG
rnacentral:lncRNA from 1 species